rnacentral:snRNA from 1 species
GGAUGUGAGGGUAAUCUGGCUUCAACAUCUGUCACCCCUUUGACCAUCAGGGUUGAUUGGAUUGAUCUGGCUGGCUAAGCGGGUGUCCCUUUCCUUCCUCACUGCUCCAUAGUUGUACCUCCUGAAGCUUCUAGUUAGGUGGAAGAGGACAAUCUCCAAUAGAGCAGGACUGGUUUUGGUCAAGGGCAUGUAAGUAGCUGUGCUCCCCUGCUAGAACCUCCGAACAAGUUCUCAGGGUCCAAAGGAUCCUAUGAUAGCCAUUAAUAUGAAAAUAAGCUCUGGAGACACUAACUU